rnacentral:misc_RNA from 1 species
AUGGCUGGGAAGCAGAAUAUGAGAGAUCACGGUACAAAACCAGGUCUCUGUGCAGUACAUAGGGAUCAACGCGUUCAAUCUCCCCUUGAUGCUGCUCAUGGAAUGAGUUCAUUACAUGCUCCGUCUGCUCUCGAUGCCUCAGCUCCAAAUCUCGGAAUCGUCUGUACUGAUGCUCAACAAAUGGAUCCCUUCUGUAAUCAUUCAUUUCCAAGUUCCCUUCAUAAGAAUAUGAUCGUGGAGAGGGUGCAAGAGUUGAUGCUGGGGGUAAAGGUACACGUGAUGACAGAGGUGCAACAGGGGAUGCAUAAAUUUCCCUUUUAUAGGUGUUACAGUGUCGCUUCCUAGCCCCGUGCUGAUCUGCAAAUUUAUGGGUUUCUGCUCUGUGACUCCGUUUUCUACUCUUCUCUCGAUCUGUAAAUGUAUGCGUCUCUGCACCAGGAUUUCUUUGCAACCCCUUCGACAUGGAGGUUUUGCUAACACCUCGAAAAAGUUUGCACAAAUUCUUCACCUGUUCUGAUGUCAAUCGACAAUCAAAUUUGUUCUUCUGGUAAUAGUUGUCUUUGAUGACCUUUUUAAACUUCUCCUCUGGCAGCGGUAUGCAGUCCUUAUAAACAUUGAACCGCACCUGUGAGGGAAAUGCACACUUGAAAGCCUUUGGUUCGAUAUUAUAACCCCCAGGUCCUGUAGCUCUGUAGAUUCCAUAUAGCAAUUUCAAAUCAAAAUCAAACAAAAAUAGCUUCAUCCCUUCACAAAUUUGUAGAACAACAUCUCUCUUAUGCUGGCAAACCUAAAACCAUGUAACGGUAGCAAUCCUUCUUGGACUGAGAACUACACAUAAAUAUCAUCCCCAUAAGUUUAUCAUUCCUUAUUGCCUUUUUGUUUGAAGGUUCUUGGUCAUUCUUAUCCUUGACAAUCACUUCACUCAUGCCCUUCAAAGCCAUCUUCUUCUUUGAGCCUUUUCUCCCCCUUUUCCUCAACUUGCCUAUUUUCUUCUUGGAAAUAUCUUCUACUUUAUCUUCAUUCUCCACCUCUUGUUUUGCAUCUUCUUCAUGCAACCCUUCAUCAUCAACAUUAUCUUUGUUAUUCAAAGUUUGAAGGUUCUUGCUUGAAGGUUCUUGAUCAUUUGUAUCCUUGACAAUCACUUCAUUCAUACCCUUCAAUGCCAUCUUUUUCUUUGAGGCCUUCUUUCCCUUCUUCCUCGGUUUAUCUGUUUUCUUCUUGAAGAUAGCUCCUACUUGUUCUUCAUUCUUCACCUCUUCUCUAGUAUCUUCUACAUCUUCAACAUGCACUACUUCUUCUUUAGGAUUCAUUUUACUAUUCAAAUCCUCCAUUGUAUGUUCUUUCUCCUUGUCAU